rnacentral:rRNA from 1 species
ACGCUCGACACCUACGGGAGGCAGCAGGUUGGGAAUAUUGGACAAUGGGAGGAAACUCUGAUCCAGUGACGCCGCGUGAAGGAAGAAGGUCUUCGGAUUGUAAACUUAUUUUGUCAGGGAAAGAAAAAAUGACUGUACCUGAAGAAAAGCACCGGCUAACUACGUGCCAACAGCCGCGGUAAUCUGAGGCGGGCUGGCAAGGC